rnacentral:lncRNA from 1 species
AGCGUAUGAAGUGCGACGAGCAAGGAAUAUAGAUAAAAAUGAGGGGUAGAAGGUGGUCAAUAGGCAGCAGGCACCAAGGAGCUUUCCACUGUGGGCUGACCGAGGAAGCUGCCCUCUUACUGAAGAUGAGCUUGAAAAAGAUCAAGGAAAUGAAAAUAAAACAAAAAAAAAAAAAAAACAAAAAAAAACUUGCAAUUACACUCUUCCACCACUAGAUGCUAUACACGUAUAAGCAAGAUAAAAGUCCUCCGCCAUUUCUUUUCCCCAUCAGUGACCUCAGUGAUGAAUGGCCAACCAUAGCCUUGCUAUAUCCUGGGGUCUUGGAUAAUGUAGAAGAGUAAAAUCUAAGUCUUGCUUACAGAAUCUGAAGAAACUCUUCUGACUUCAAAGCUCAAUUCUGUGCCAUGGAAAUCAGAUAUACUAUAUCAUAUCUCAACUUAAGUGCAAAGGAGCAAACUCUGGCAAAACUUUAUGUAAAGGAAGAACUUUCUCCUCUUCUCUCCCCAUAUCAUCAUAGCAGCUACAUCCUACAAACACACAGCGGCUGUUAUCAGAAAUCAACUUGUGAAAGUCACCUCUACCCAUAGAUGAGGUUGUGAUGGUUUCAUCCAAAUGAUUUUAUGGCCUGUGAAGCAGUCAUUUGGAUCAAGGUUAACAAAUUCUUGGUAUCAGAGGUGCUACUGAGGACUCCACAUACCGAUACCAAUAAAUAAUGUCCAUACAACGAAGGUGGUGUUGGUUGAUACGGUUUGGAUCUGUGUCCCCACCCAAAUCGCAUGUUGAAUUGUAAUCCCCCAGUAUUGGAGGUGGGGCCUGGUGGGAGGUAACUGGAUCAUGGGGUUGGAUUUCCCUAUUGCUGUUCUCAUGAUAGUGAGUGAGUUGUCAUGAGAUCUGGUUGUUUAAAAGUGUGUAAUACCUCCCACUCACCUUCCUCCUGCUGUGGCCAUGGAAGAUGUGCCUCCUUCACCUUCCACCAUGACUGUGUUUCCUGAGGCCUUCCCAGAAACUGAGCAGAUGCCACCAUGCUUCCUGUACAAUCUACAGAACCUUGAGCCAAUUAAACCUUUUUUUUAUAAAUUA